UACGAAGGGGGGCUAGCGUUGCUCGGAAUUACUGGGCGUAAAGGGCGCGUAGGCGGCACUGUUAGUCAGGCGUGAAAGUCCUGGGCUCAACCUGGGAACUGCGCUUGAUACGGCAGAGCUAGAGGAUGGAAGAGGCUCGCGGAAUUCCCAGUGUAGAGGUGAAAUUCGUAGAUAUUGGGAAGAACACCGGUGGCGAAGGCGGCGAGCUGGUCCAUUACUGACGCUGAGGCGCGACAGCGUGGGGGAGCAAACAGG
rnacentral:rRNA from 1 species